ACGUCGUUUUGUGUGUAUACGGCGUCGUUCUCUUUUAUUUCGAUUAAAACCCUCCUAACGUCUCGAUCAGUUAUCUCCCCCAGCUCUCUCCUCUCUCCGGUCUUGUCUCUCUCAACUCUCUCUCUCUCUCUCUCAUCUCUGCCGGCUCUCUCUCUCUGUAGAUUUUUGGCUAAUGGGAUGCCUGCCAGGACUGGUGGAAUAUCAUCCGGAACUUCUGUUUCUCAGUUGCUGUUAGACGGGGUUCUGAGAAAAACAAGUAUAUUACAAGAGAUACUGCAAAAAGAACUAGCAGCAAAGAGAAAUCGGCAUAUAUCAUUGUCCCCAAACGAAAUGACCAACAUAUUAUGGAAAAAGCUAUUUCACAUGCAGCAUCAGGAACUAAAAUUGUAGGAGAGGAAAGAGGCAAUUGCGGAGGCGACUAAGGAUGUCACCGAUGGUGAGAGUUCGAAGAAUGACAUUGAUGGGGAUGAUGAUGGUGAUGGAGAUGAGGAAGAUUGAAAUGAAGCUACCUAGCUAGAUGCAUUAUUGGUAGGGAUGCUGAUUUUGUUAAAACAUUGCUUUUGGCUUUUGAUUGUUUAGCUGCAAUGUAUAUGAUUGUUGGCUUUUGACUGAUUGUUCAGCUGUAACAUUUAUGUCGUACUGAAUUAUAUAAUUGUUCUUUUGUAAAUAUAUGAAUGCUUGUUGGCUUUUAAAUUAUGUCAUACUGAAUUUUAAUGGAUAUGAUUCUUGA